GAUGAACGCUGGCGGCGUGCCUAACACAUGCAAGUCGAGCGAUUCUCUUCGGAGAAGAGCGGCGGACGGGUGAGUAACGCGUGGGUAGCCUGCCCUGUACACACGGAUAACAUACCGAAAGGUAUGCUAAUACGGGAUAAUAUGCUUUAGUCGCAUGGCUGAAAUAUCAAAGCUCCGGCGGUACAGGAUGGACCCGCGUCUGAUUAGCUAGUUGGUAAGGUAACGGCUUACCAAGGCGACGAUCAGUAGCCGACCUGAGAGGGUGAUCGGCCACAUUGGAACUGAGACACGGUCCAUACUCCUACGGGAGGCAGCAGUGGGGAAUAUUGCGCAAUGGGCGAAAGCCUGAUGCAGCAACGCCGCGUGAGCGAUGAAGGCCUUCGGGUCGUAAAGCUCUGUCCUCAAGGAAGAUAAUGACGGUACUUGAGGAGGAAGCCCCGGCUAACUACGUGCCAGCCGCCGCCGUAA
rnacentral:rRNA from 1 species